rnacentral:rRNA from 1 species
UGGGGAAUAUUGCACAAUGGGCGCAAGCCUGAUGCAGCCAUGCCGCGUGUAUGAAGAAGGCCUUCGGGUUGUAAAGUACUUUCAGCGAGGAGGAAGGCAGUCGUGUUAAUAGCGCGAUUGAUUGACGUUACUCGCAGAAGAAGCACCGGCUAACUCCGUGCCAGCAGCCGCGGUAAUACGGAGGGUGCAAGCGUUAAUCGGAAUUACUGGGCGUAAAGCGCACGCAGGCGGUCUGUCAAGUCGGAUGUGAAAUCCCCGGGCUCAACCCGGGAACUGCAUUCGAAACUGGCAGGCUAGAGUCUUGUAGAGGGGGGUAGAAUUCCAGGUGUAGCGGUGAAAUGCGUAGAGAUCUGGAGGAAUACCGGUGGCGAAGGCGGCCCCCUGGACAAAGACUGACGCUCAGGUGCGAAAGCGUGGGGAGCAAACA